GGGUUGUGAGGUUAAGCGACUAAGCGUACACGGUGGAUGCCCUGGCAGUCAGAGGCGAUGAAGGACGUGCUAAUCUGCGAUAAGCGUCGGUAAGGUGAUAUGAACCGUUAUAACCGGCGAUUUCCGAAUGGGGAAACCCAGUGUGAUUCGUCACACUAUCAUUAACUGAAUCCAUAGGUUAAUGAGGCGAACCGGGGGAACUGAAACAUCUAAGUACCCCGAGGAAAAGAAAUCAACCGAGAUUCCCCCAGUAGCGGCGAGCGAACGGGGAGCAGCCCAGAGCCUGAAUCAGUGUGUGUGUUAGUGGAAGCGUCUGGAAAGGCGUGCGAUACAGGGUGACAGCCCCGUACACAAAAAUGCACAUACUGUGAGCUCGAUGAGUAGGGCGGGACACGUGGUAUCCUGUCUGAAUAUGGGGGGACCAUCCUCCAAGGCUAAAUACUCCUGACUGACCGAUAGUGAACCAGUACCGUGAGGGAAAGGCGAAAAGAACCCCGGCGAGGGGAGUGAAAAAGAACCUGAAACCGUGUACGUACAAGCAGUGGGAGCACGCUUAGGCGUGUGACUGCGUACCUUUUGUAUAAUGGGUCAGCGACUUAUAUUCUGUAGCAAGGUUAACCGAAUAGGGGAGCCGAAGGGAAACCGAGUCUUAACUGGGCGUUAAGUUGCAGGGUAUAGACCCGAAACCCGGUGAUCUAGCCAUGGGCAGGUUGAAGGUUGGGUAACACUAACUGGAGGACCGAACCGACUAAUGUUGAAAAAUUAGCGGAUGACUUGUGGCUGGGGGUGAAAGGCCAAUCAAACCGGGAGAUAGCUGGUUCUCCCCGAAAGCUAUUUAGGUAGCGCCUCGUGAAUUCAUCUCCGGGGGUAGAGCACUGUUUCGGCAAGGGGGUCAUCCCGACUUACCAACCCGAUGCAAACUGCGAAUACCGGAGAAUGUUAUCACGGGAGACACACGGCGGGUGCUAACGUCCGUCGUGAAGAGGGAAACAACCCAGACCGCCAGCUAAGGUCCCAAAGUCAUGGUUAAGUGGGAAACGAUGUGGGAAGGCCCAGACAGCCAGGAUGUUGGCUUAGAAGCAGCCAUCAUUUAAAGAAAGCGUAAUAGCUCACUGGUCGAGUCGGCCUGCGCGGAAGAUGUAACGGGGCUAAACCAUGCACCGAAGCUGCGGCAGCGACGCUUAUGCGUUGUUGGGUAGGGGAGCGUUCUGUAAGCCUGCGAAGGUGUGCUGUGAGGCAUGCUGGAGGUAUCAGAAGUGCGAAUGCUGACAUAAGUAACGAUAAAGCGGGUGAAAAGCCCGCUCGCCGGAAGACCAAGGGUUCCUGUCCAACGUUAAUCGGGGCAGGGUGAGUCGACCCCUAAGGCGAGGCCGAAAGGCGUAGUCGAUGGGAAACAGGUUAAUAUUCCUGUACUUGGUGUUACUGCGAAGGGGGGACGGAGAAGGCUAUGUUGGCCGGGCGACGGUUGUCCCGGUUUAAGCGUGUAGGCUGGUUUUCCAGGCAAAUCCGGAAAACUAAGGCUGAGGCGUGAUGACGAGGCACUACGGUGCUGAAGCAACAAAUGCCCUGCUUCCAGGAAAAGCCUCUAAGCAUCAGGUAACAUCAAAUCGUACCCCAAACCGACACAGGUGGUCAGGUAGAGAAUACCAAGGCGCUUGAGAGAACUCGGGUGAAGGAACUAGGCAAAAUGGUGCCGUAACUUCGGGAGAAGGCACGCUGAUAUGUAGGUGAAGCGACUUGCUCGUGGAGCUGAAAUCAGUCGAAGAUACCAGCUGGCUGCAACUGUUUAUUAAAAACACAGCACUGUGCAAACACGAAAGUGGACGUAUACGGUGUGACGCCUGCCCGGUGCCGGAAGGUUAAUUGAUGGGGUCAGCGCAAGCGAAGCUCUUGAUCGAAGCCCCGGUAAACGGCGGCCGUAACUAUAACGGUCCUAAGGUAGCGAAAUUCCUUGUCGGGUAAGUUCCGACCUGCACGAAUGGCGUAAUGAUGGCCAGGCUGUCUCCACCCGAGACUCAGUGAAAUUGAACUCGCUGUGAAGAUGCAGUGUACCCGCGGCAAGACGGAAAGACCCCGUGAACCUUUACUAUAGCUUGACACUGAACAUUGAGCCUUGAUGUGUAGGAUAGGUGGGAGGCUUUGAAGUGUGGACGCCAGUCUGCAUGGAGCCGACCUUGAAAUACCACCCUUUAAUGUUUGAUGUUCUAACGUUGACCCGUGAUCCGGGUUGCGGACAGUGUCUGGUGGGUAGUUUGACUGGGGCGGUCUCCUCCUAAAGAGUAACGGAGGAGCACGAAGGUUGGCUAAUCCUGGUCGGACAUCAGGAGGUUAGUGCAAUGGCAUAAGCCAGCUUGACUGCGAGCGUGACGGCGCGAGCAGGUGCGAAAGCAGGUCAUAGUGAUCCGGUGGUUCUGAAUGGAAGGGCCAUCGCUCAACGGAUAAAAGGUACUCCGGGGAUAACAGGCUGAUACCGCCCAAGAGUUCAUAUCGACGGCGGUGUUUGGCACCUCGAUGUCGGCUCAUCACAUCCUGGGGCUGAAGUAGGUCCCAAGGGUAUGGCUGUUCGCCAUUUAAAGUGGUACGCGAGCUGGGUUUAGAACGUCGUGAGACAGUUCGGUCCCUAUCUGCCGUGGGCGCUGGAGAACUGAGGGGGGCUGCUCCUAGUACGAGAGGACCGGAGUGGACGCAUCACUGGUGUUCGGGUUGUCAUGCCAAUGGCACUGCCCGGUAGCUAAAUGCGGAAGAGAUAAGUGCUGAAAGCAUCUAAGCACGAAACUUGCCCCGAGAUGAGUUCUCCCUGACUCCUUGAGAGUCCUGAAGGAACGUUGAAGACGACGACGUUGAUAGGCCGGGUGUGUAAGCGCAGCGAUGCGUUGAGCUAACCGGUACUAAUGAACCGUGAGGCUUAACCUUACAACGCCGAAGGUGUUU
rnacentral:rRNA from 1 species